GAUGAACGCUAGCGGCAGGCCUAAUACAUGCAAGUCGGACGGGAUUUGGGAGCUUGCUCCCAAUGAGAGUGGCGCACGGGUGCGUAACACGUAUGUAACCUACCUUAGUCAGGGGGAUAGCCUCUCGAAAGAGAGAUUAAGACCGCAUAAAAUACACAGUAUAGCAUUAUACAAUGAUCAAAUAUUUAUAGGACUAAGAUGGGCAUGCGGAACAUUAGCUAGUUGGUGAGGUAACGG
rnacentral:rRNA from 1 species